rnacentral:rRNA from 1 species
UACGGGGGGGGCAAGCGUUGUUCGGAAUUACUGGGCGUAAAGGGCUCGUAGGCGGCCAACUAAGUCAUACGUGAAAUCCCUCGGCUUAACCGGGGAACUGCGUCUGAUACUGGAUGGCUUGAGUUCGGGAGAGGGAUGCGGAAUUCCAGGUGUAGCGGUGAAAUGCGUAGAUAUCUGGAAGAACACCGGUGGCGAAGGCGGUGGUCUGGGCCUGAACUGACGCUGAGGAGCGAAAGCCAGGGGAGCAAACGGG